UGGUGGUUGAAGGUGUUCAGUUCACCUCAGAGAAUGGGGAACUGAGGUUUGGCAUCGGAGGGGGGGCCAAUUUGAAAGGAGGCCAGCCUGGAGAUUCAGAAUCCAGUAGGGGCGCCGCCAAGCCGGCGAGCCGCAAGAGGAGGUGGUCGGCCCCCGAGGGCCGUCAGGUGGAGAGGAGCGAGGAGGUGCCCCAGUUGACUCUACCCAAACCUUCCUUUAUCACUCAGGGGGUAAAAAUCAGCAUCGAAGGCAGGUCAAAUAUAGAAGGUUAGAACUACACAUCUAAUCCUAAACAAGGGGUCACCAGAUGCCUCGACACUCAUCCACCUCGACCACUCAGCUAGGUGAUGUCACCCAGCAGGGCCAGACCAGCCAGGCGAGGUCAUCAGGCCGCGCCACUGGGCCACCAUAAAAAGAGAACUCUUCCUUCCUUUGUUAUGUUUGGGUGACAGUGGAGUCAUUUUGUUAUUAUUCUUGAAAUGUUCUGAGUUGAUAAUGAUAUAUUUAAAUGAUUGUCUAAAACUUUGAGGUCAGGGGUCACAUACUGUAUGUAUAAUUUGAUCCAGGGUGGUUAAGUAAAAUGUUUAUGUUAUUCCUUUAUACCCUACAUACAUUUACAUUCACACUGAGUUGAUGAACUAUGGGAUUAUUCAGAGGAAGAUGAUGUUUACUUGGUGCAACCUUUUCCUUUACAUUUUUAUGGCAGAAAGAAAGAGCUUGUGUCUCAAAUGGUCCCCUAUACCCUAUAUAGUGCACUUCUUUUACUAAGGCUCCUAUCCUUAUGGGCCCUAGUCAAAAGUAGUACACUGUAUAGGGAAUAGGGGCCAUUUGGAACGCAGUCAGAGAGUCACUGUUGAGUCUUUAGAGAGAGACAGCAUGUUGUCUUGAAGCACUUGCGUCUGCACACCUGUCACACUCACCAACUGAUGAUAACACAACUAUUAUUAUUAUUGUUAUUGUUAUUGUUAUUGUUGGUCUCUCUUCAUUAACACAGUACUGUAUGUUUUUGUUAUUUUACCUUGAGGAAGAAGUAGAACUCUGUGACAGCAGGACUUUAGAACAGUGAAGGGGUCGUGAUGAUGUCAUAGAGGAAUGAUGAUGUCAUGGGGUCACCAAGUCACUUGACCUGACAGGGAUGAAUGUGACAGGUGAUGAAGCGAGUGCCAGUUAGGAGAGGGAAAGAAAGUGAGAAAGAAAACAGAGGAAUAUAGAGGACGAUAUGAAAGCAGAAGAGUGUUUUUUUUUUGUUAAGGCACUUUACUCCAAUCAGAACAUGCUCUUCAAAUUAUGGGUGUGGUCAAAAAAAAGAUACAUAACUGCCUUUUCAAGGAAAUCAAAAAUGUCAAUCAAGUCCAAAAGGAGAUUGGACAAAGGAUGGGAAUAGGCAGGAACUAUGUACAGGUAUGUUGUGGACGAGACUGAGAGAGUUAUAGAUGCUCUGGACACAGAAUUUUUGACGUGUGUCAUAUGCAUAAUGUAUGUACGGGAAGUGUGCAUGAAUGUAGGUAUGUGUAAGUACACACACACCAGAGGAGGCUGGUGGGGGUAGCUAUAGGAGGACAUAUUCAUUGUAAUGGCUGUUAUGGUAUAGAUGGAACAGGGUCAAACACACUGUUUCCAGGUGUUUGAUGUGUUUGGUACCAUUGCAUUGAUUCCAUUCCAGCCAUUACAAUGAGCCCAUCCUCCUAUAGCUCCUCCCACCAGGCUCCCUGACACACACUACUCACACAAACACACACGGAAUACAGUACCUGCACAGACAGGCACUCUCCUGAAGGUGAGGGAGGACUGUAUGUAUUUCAUACUUGUUGAUAUACGUUUCAUGUGUAUCCAAAUACUUUUGUUGCAUAGAUGUUUCCCCUUGAUGAUAUAGAGAAGCCAAUAUAUUUGAGUAGGAAACUAAGACGAUAGUGAUUCUCAGUGGUGUGUGUGUGUGUGUGUGUGUGUGUGUGUGUGUGUGUGUGUUUGUAAAUGUGUAUAGAAAUAUCAUAUAAGUUAAUUUGAUAUAUCCCAUGUUAAAUGUCCAGGGUUCCUGUUUUUGGAGUUCUACUUAAGAGAAUCUUGCAAUUUGCACAUCUGGAGAGGUUGUUAGUUGGGUGACAUGACUUUUUGGUUGUGUCCGAAAUGGCUCCCUUUUCCCUACAUAGUGCACUGACCAAAAGUAGUGCACUAUAUAGGGAAUAGAAUGCCAUUUCAGAUACACCUAUGUUUUCAGCCAGGUUGCACACACAAACACACACACACUCACACAAACACACAGUGAGCUGAAGCCAUAGAGAUAGGUAGAGGACUCGUCUUUGUAUCUGUGCCAUUAUAGUGUCUGUGACAGCCUCAAUGGCGCUGUCCAUGCUUUCUCCAUUUUAAAGUAGUCAAUUGUCGUCUUCACUAUUGGCUGGUCCCUCCUGAUGACCCAGUUGGACAUGACUCCAACAGGGUCACCAGGGGGGGAUCAUUCAAUGAAGUUGGAAGUCUCACCCAGUUGACUACAUUAAAAUGUUGGAAUCCCUCAAUGGCGCUACCCAUGCUAAUACUACCUUUUGGCCACUAGAGGCCUCUAUCAUUCUCUAUGGCUGAAACCCCAUUUUACUGAAAUGUAGCAGUUCCUUAUCAAGUGCGCUCCCUGCUGAUUGGCUCUGACAAUCUUGACUCUGCUCCUCAUUGGACAACUACACUGUCAAUCACAUCUGUGGCACGUCCAAGUCCCACCCACUUGUUGGGAGUUUGGUUGAGAGACAGUGUGGAGGUAUGUCGGUCGGUCUUGGAGCCGGGGGUGGGGCCCCCACCAGGUACACCUGUUGAGCUCUCUGAUUGAACUAGAUUUUCAGGUGUGUUUAGGUGGUAGAAGAUAUGGCAGAGUAGGAGAAGUAUGUAGAAGUUGCUUCUAGCCACUGGUGUAGGUUCAGAUCCCCCUAAAGGUUCGUGUUAGGUGUGGGUGUAGGGGAAUCUGAUCCUAGAUCUGUGGUUAAGAGGAACUCCUACCUGGAGGGCGGGUGCGGGUGAUGGACAGAUGGAUGGAUGGAUGGUAAAGUCAGAUGGAUGGUGGUGGCGGUGGUGGGGAGUGAGUAGACACCCUGUAUAAGAUUUGAAAAUGCUUUAUUGUUUUUAAUAAAACAGGGUUUCUCAGAUCAACA
ensembl:lncRNA